rnacentral:rRNA from 1 species
AUGCACCACAAGACCUACCAGCGGCAAGUUACAAAUCAUGUACAAAGGAGUCUCUCGAUUCCCCAAGGCAAGAAAACAUUUACACAGCUACAAUGGCGAAAUAGAACAGACGCUAAAUGGUGUCUCUCUUCUCAAGCCAGCUUCCAUCGCACCCAAACCAUAUGUAUCAAUAUACUUCAAGGACCACCUGUUUCAUGUAUGACUUCGCCUAGAAAGGAUCCUGAUGACCAAGCAAAGGAACAAGCAGCGGUCAUUAAUGUGCCGGCACAUCCAGCAAUGUCCACAACACUACACAAAGCAAGAUUAUAA